rnacentral:tRNA from 1 species
GGUAAAAUGGCUGAGAAUAAGCAAUAAAUUGUAAAUUUAUUCACGAAAAUUAAUUUCUUUUACCA